AUUGAACGCUGGCGGCAGGCCUAACACAUGCAAGUCGAGCGGCAGCGGGAAGUAGCUUGCUACUUUGCCGGCGAGCGGCGGACGGGUGAGUAAUGUCUGGGAAACUGCCUGAUGGAGGGGGAUAACUACUGGAAACGGUAGCUAAUACCGCGUGAUGUCGCAAGACCAGAGAGGGGGACCUUAGGGCCUCUCGCCAUCAGAUGUGCCCAGAUGGGAUUAGCUAGUAGGUGGGGUAAAGGCUCACCUAGGCGACGAUCCCUAGCUGGUCUGAGAGGAUGACCAGCCACACUGGGACUGAGACACGGCCCAGACUCCUACGGGAGGCAGCAGUGGGGAAUAUUGCACAAUGGGCGCAAGCCUGAUGC
rnacentral:rRNA from 1 species